rnacentral:rRNA from 1 species
UACGUAGGGGCUAGCGUUGUCCGGAAUCACUGGGCUUAAAGCGUGUGUAGGUGGAUCGUUAAGUACCUUGUGAAAUCCCACGGCUUAACCGUGGAACUGCUUGGUAUACUGGCGGUCUUGAGUCAGCUAGGGCUACCGGAACAAAUGGUGGAGCGGUGAAAUGCGUAGAUAUCAUUUGGAACGCCAAUGGUGAAAACAGGUAGCUGGGCUGUACUGACACUGAGACACGAAAGCCAGGGAGCAAACGG